CUUGGCUUUGGACAGUGCGGUUUUUAUCUCUGUAGCCGUGAUAAUAGGGAUUGGCAUUCCUCAGGUAUUGUGAUAGGCCCUUUAGGGAGGUAAAGAUUUG